UCUUCCAAAAUUGGGGAGCUCAAUGGCGGAGGCUGUAGCCACGAGGGCUAGCAGUGCUAAUGCGAAUUUCAUCUUUGAAAUGUUGCCAGUAAA